UACGUAGGGUGCAAGCGUUAAUCGGAAUUACUGGGCGUAAAGCGUGCGCAGGCGGUUAUGCAAGACAGAGGUGAAAUCCCCGGGCUCAACCCUGGGAACUGCCUUUGUGACUGCAUAGCUAGAGUACGGUAGAGGGGGAUGGAAUUCCGCGUGUAGCAGUGAAAUGCGUAGAUAUGCGGAGGAACACCGAUGGCGAAGGCAAUCCCCUGGACCUGUACUGACGCUCAUGCACGAAGC
rnacentral:rRNA from 1 species